AACACACAUCAUGUCCUAAAAGACAAAUUCAACAAUUUUACUAAGAAAAUUAUGAAGAAUUAAUCUUGGCAUUGUAAUCGAAAGGGGUAUUACUUACCAUUCCGUUAGAAGUAAAAAGGUGAAUGGGAGUCCUCGUGAGCAUUACUUAGUUUGUAGGGGCAUUGUAAUAUGUGAAGGGCGGAACUCGAAUACGUAAUUGUCUGCUUAUUCACCUUAGGAUUUUAAUUUUUUUAUUUGUAAUAUAUCCAUUUUCAAGUUUUGGUUCUCCAAUUUUGUUUUGCUUUAAAAUGGUCCUAUUGAUUGUUUUUUUCUUUUUCAUUUUAGUUGUUGUUUGGUUUCCUUUUUAUAAAAUAUAUUUAUUUAUAUAUUUUAGUCAUGUUUUAUAUAUUUUUGUCUUUUAUAUUCAUCCCCGCACAAAUUAUCCCAAAAUUUAAGAAAAUAUAAUUUAAAAAAUGGCUCGCAACAAUUCAAUAAAAAUAAAUCAUUCUUGU
rnacentral:lncRNA from 1 species